rnacentral:rRNA from 1 species
CAAUAGCGUAUACUAAAGUUGUUGCGAUUAAAAAGCUCGUAGUUGGAUCUCAGGCAUGGGCGCACGGUCCGCCUCGCGGCGGUCACUGUGUGUUUUGUUUCCCAUCCUACGCUUCCCGGUUAUCAGCCCAUGGUGCUCUUCACUGAGCGUUUUGGGUGGCCGGAACGUUUACUUUGAAGAAAUUAGAGUGUUCAAAGCAGGCACGUUGCCUGAAUAAUGGUGCAUGGAAUAAUGGAAUAGGACCUCGGUUCUAUUUUGCUGGUUUUCGGAACACGAGGUAAUGAUUAAGAGGGACAGACGGGGGCAUCCGUAUUGCGGUGUUAGAGGUGAAAUUCUUGGAUCAUCGCAAGACGAACAACUGCGAAAGCAUUUGCCAAGCAUGUCUUCAUUAG